rnacentral:rRNA from 1 species
GACGAACGCUGGCGGCGUGCCUAACACAUGCAGGUCGAGCGAAUGAAGUUCCUUCGGGGCUGGAUUUAGCGGCGGACGGGUGAGUAACACGUGGGCAACCUGCCUCAUAGAGGGGAAUAGCCUCCCGAAAGGGAGAUUAAUACCGCAUAAGAUUGUAGUACCGCAUGAUACAGCAAUUAAAGGAGCAAUCCGCUAUGGGAUGGGCCCGCGGCGCAUUAGCUAGUUGGUGAGGUAAUGGCGCACCAAGGCGACGAUGCGUAGACGACCAGAGAGGGUGAUCGGCCACAUUGGGACUGAGACACGGCCCAGACUCCUACGGGAGGCAGGAGUGGGGAAUAUUGCACAAUGGGGGAAACCCUGAUGCAGCAACGCCGCGUGAGUGAUGACGGCCUUCGGGUUGUAAAGCUCUGUAUUCAGGGACGAUAAUGACGGUACCUGAGGAGGAAGCCACGGCUAACUACGUG